AGAGAUGCAGAGAUGGAGGGGGAGGGUGCGCUAAAGCAGCGUCUCGAGGGAUGGCGGGGUUUGGGUGAUGGACCUUCUUGGCAACCACACCCAUGCAUGGCUCGUUUCGGAUAGGGGGAUCCCCUCCCUCUCCCACCCUCCGUUAAAUUAUGAUGACUGCGUACUGAGAGCCCAGCCACCAUUCUUCUCUCCCCUACCCACCUAUCUAUAACCAAUUUGAUCGAUCCACCAACUUGCUUUGUUUUGAUCCUCUGCUUAGAUUUGCUUUGUUGAUGUGAGAGGUUGAAGCUGCCAGCAUGAUCUGGUCAUCAAACGCCGGUCGGACUCCACCGAGAUAUCAGCUCGUGGUUUGGAAGAUAAUAUGAAAAACUCCAUGUCACAGUGUAGUACAGGUAGAAAUAUAGAUAGAGAGAAUAAAUAGCUUUGAUAUUUCUUGCUAUUUUUAUUGGAUGGGUGGGGUUGCUGAGAAAUGGAUCACUGUAUACAUGUUCUAGAGCUUGAUUGGCAUGUAAUUUUAUAGAUGAGAAAUCGAGAACUAUGUAGAACUGUAAUAUAGAUACUAGAUAGACCCUAAAACUGUAAAGAACAUCAUCCAAACUCGGUAGAAAGUAUAGGGAUGGAUGUGGGGAGGGAGAGAGAGAGAGAGAGAGAGAUAGGUUGUUUCAGAUUGCAGAAGGCAUGAAGAAAUGGUUCUGAACUAUUGGGAAGUAUAUAAGAAGAUAAGUGAAUAGAUGUAGACAAUAGAGAGGCAAACCUCCUUUCCUCCCCUCUCUCUCUCAUGGGGAUCCAGUUUGCAGAAUGGAGUAGUUUUAUUUGGUAGAGUGCAUUGUUUUGCUCGUCGAUAAGAUUGGAAACAUGGGUUCGACUCCAUCAGAUCAUCUUGCAGCUUCAAUCACUCACUCAUCAACAGAAGAUCACAAGAUUUGUUUCCUUGAGACUGCUCAUUCCAUGUCUGCUUACUCUCUCAUCAACUGCGAGCUCAUACUCAAAGAGGCUGCACAAGUUUCGCUUAUUUUACUUUUUUAUUCCUUUUCAUGUACACCAUUUACUUUAGGCUUCAGAGUUGCAAGUUAUGCUAUUGAAUUUUGCUCUUAGGAUAUCUUCUCUUUGUCUGACCAUGGAAAUUAUCUUACUGAGUAACAACUGUGGUAAUUAUCAUAUUAACCAGGUUGGAAAACAUGGACGGUAUCAGACAUGUCUCACACAAAAUCAGAUUAGAGAAGUUGGCUUUAUACAGCAAAAUAAAUGGUGAAAGACAUGAACAGAGAAGGUUGAGGUGAUAAGGAUUUUGGCACAAUGUUACCCUGCAGUCUUCUACAAAGUGAGGAUGAAGAAAAGGGAUAUCUCCAAGUGGUAAGAGAAUGCAUGUUUAUCAUUUUUAGCAAUUCAUACCAAAAUAUAUUUAGGUCAUUCUUAUUAUGUAAUGACAAUAUGAUGAAAUGUAGAAAGGAGCGAUGCUACAUGGACAUGUUCAUUGAUAAAAAUUUAACGCAGGGUAGCAGCGUUAAAUUCA